rnacentral:rRNA from 1 species
CGUACUGUGAAGCAUCCUGUUAAGUCGAGGCAACGAGCGACGACCACGCACAGUUGCCAGCUCGUCCUCCGGGAUGGUGGGGACACUGUUGGGACCGCCUCUGCUAAAGAGGAGGAAGGAAUGGGCAACGGUAGGUCAGCAUGCCCCGAAUUAUCUGGGCUACACGCGGGCUACAAUGGGUGGGACAAUGGGUAUCGACACCGAAAGGUGAAGGCAAUCUCCUAAACCCAUCCGUAGUUCGGAUUGUGGGCUGCAACUCGCCCACAUGAAGCUGGAAUCUGUAGUAAUCGUGUCUCAAAAUGGCACGGUGAAUAUGUCCCUGCUCCUU